rnacentral:misc_RNA from 1 species
UAUUGAAGGUGUUAGAAUUAUUCUAAAUUUGUUAAAGAUUAGAUUAUUAAUUUAUAUGGAACUCACAAUUUAAAAUAGGUAGAGAAAAAAAAAGCCCUGAAACUUACAAUUAGACUAGUGUAUUUAUACGUUAAAUUAGUAUUCAUAUCCAUGAAAUCUCGAAUGUAAAGAAUAUGAGAGAGAGAGUUGGAUGGGUUGAACAAGGAGAAAAAAAGACAAA